rnacentral:rRNA from 1 species
UACGUAGGGUGCAAGCGUUGUCCGGAAUUAUUGGGCGUAAAGAGCUCGUAGGUGGUUCGUCGCGUCGGCUGUGAAAACCUGAGGCUCAACCUCAGGCCUGCAGUCGAUACGGGCGGACUUGAGUACUGCAGGGGAGACUGGAAUUCCUGGUGUAGCGGUGAAAUGCGCAGAUAUCAGGAGGAACACCAGUGGCGAAGGCGACUACCUGGCCUGUUCUUGACGCUGAGGCGCGAAAGCCAGGGGAGCGAACAGG